rnacentral:rRNA from 1 species
AACGAACGUUGGCGGUGUGCCUAAUACAUGCAAGUCGAGCGAGAAAGCCGGGGCAACUCGGCAAGUACAGCGGCGGAAGGGUGCGUAAUACAUGGAUAACGUACCCCCCAGUUCGGGAUAACCCUCCGAAAGGUGGGCUAAUACCGGAUGAUGGCAGCGGGUGGCAUCAUUUGCUGCUUAAAGACGCAAGUCGCUGGAGGAGCGGUCCAUGGCCUAUCAGCUAGUUGGCGGGGUAACGGCCCACCAAGGCGAUGACGGGUAGCCGGACUGAGAGGUUGAACGGCCACACUGGGACUGAGACACGGCCCAGACAUCUACGGAUGGCAGCAGUAGGGAAUCUUGCGCAAUGGGCGAAAGCCUGACGCAGCGACACCGCGUGGGGGAUGAAGGCCUUCGGGUUGUAAACCUCUUUCAGCAGGGACGAAGCGCAAGUGACGGUACCUGCAGAAGAAGCACCGGCCAACUACGUGCCAGCCGCCGCUGUAAGAC